GACGAACGCUGGCGGCGUGCCUAAUACAUGCAAGUAGAACGCUGAAGGAGGAGCUUGCUUCUCUGGAUGAGUUGCGAACGGGUGAGUAACGCGUAGGUAACCUGCCUGGUAGCGGGGGAUAACUAUUGGAAACGAUAGCUAAUACCGCAUAAGAGUAGAUGUUGCAUGACAUUUGCUUAAAAGGUGCAAUUGCAUCACUACCAGAUGGACCUGCGUUGUAUUAGCUAGUUGGUGGGGUAACGGCUCACCAAGGCGACGAUACAUAGCCGACCUGAGAGGGUGAUCGGCCACACUUGGACCUAGACACGGCCCCGACUCCUACGGGAGGCAGCAGUAGGGAAUCUUCGGCAAUGGACGGAAGUCUGACUGAGCAACGCCGCGUGAGUGAAGAAGGUUUUCGGAUCGUAAAGCUCUGUUGUAAGAGAAGAACGAGUGUGAGAGUGGAAAGUUCACACUGUGACGGUAUCUUACCAGAAAGGGACGGCUAACUACGUG
rnacentral:rRNA from 1 species